UAGGGAAUCUUCCGCAAUGGACGCAAGUCUGACGGAGCAACGCCGCGUGAGUGAAGAAGGAUUUCGGUUCGUAAAACUCUGUUGUUAGAGAAGAACAGCGCAUAGAGUAACUGUUAUGCGUGUGACGGUAUCUAACCAGAAAGCCACGGCUAACUACGUGCCAGCAGCCGCGGUAAUACGUAGGUGGCAAGCGUUGUCCGGAUUUAUUGGGCGUAAAGCGAGCGCAGGCGGUCAAUUAAGUCUGAUGUGAAAGCCCCCGGCUCAACCGGGGAGGGUCAUUGGAAACUGGUUGACUUGAGUGCAGAAGAGGAGAGUGGAAUUCCAUGUGUGGCGGUGAAAUGCGUAGGUAUAUGGAGGAACACCAGUGGCGAAGGCGACUCUCUGGUCUGUAACUGACGCUGAGGCUCGAAGGCGUGGGGAGCGAACAGG
rnacentral:rRNA from 1 species